UCUGACUNGAGUGCAGAAGGGGAGAGUGGAAUUCCAUGUGUAGCGGUGAAAUGCGUCGAUAUAUGGAGGAACACCAGUGGCGAAAGCGGCUCUCUGGUCUGUCACUGACGCUGAGGCUCGAAAGCGCGGGUAGCGAACAGGAUUAGAUACCCUGGUAGUCCACGCCGUAAACGAUGAGUGCUAGGUGUUAGGCCCUUUCCGGGGCUUAGUGCCGGAGCUAACGCAAUAAGCACUCCGCCUGGGGAGUACGACCGCAAGGUUGAAACUCAAAGGAAUUGACGGGGGCCCGCACAAGCGGUGGAGCAUGUGGUUUAAUUCGAAGCAACGCGAAGAACCUUACCAGGUCUUGACAUCCCGAUGCUAUUCUUAGAGAUAGGAAGUUACUUCGGUACAUCGGAGACAGGUGGUGCAUGGUUGUCGUCAGCUCGUGUCGUGAGAUGUUGGGUUAAGUCCCGCAACGAGCGCAACCCUUAUAGUUAGUUGCCAUCAUUAAGUUGGGCACUCUAGCGAGACUGCCGGUAAUAAACCGGAGGAAGGUGGGGAUGACGUCAAAUCAUCAUGCCCCUUAUGACCUGGGCUACACACGUGCUACAAUGGUCGGUACAACGAGUUGCGAGCCGGUGACGGCAAGCUAAUCUCUGAAAGCCGAUCUCAGUUCGGAUUGGAGGCUGCAACUCGCCUCCAUGAAGUCGGAAUCGCUAGUAAUCGCAGAUCAGCACGCCGCGGUGAAUACGUUCCCG
rnacentral:rRNA from 1 species